GUCUUAGUAGUAUAAACAUUACAAUGGUCUUGUAAACCAUAAAUGGAAGCCAGCUUCCCUAAGACU
rnacentral:tRNA from 1 species